ACCAAAACCCUGAUUUGAUAGUAUCAAAUGAUAGAACAAAAUAUUUGUGAUCCAAUGGUGAAAAUUUUAUUGAUUUUGGACUUGUAUGUUGAAAGAUAUACAUGAUUGAAAUUCAUGAGUCGACCCAUGAGUCGACUCAUAGCACAUGAGAUGACUGGCACACUGAAAAUCCUGACCGGCACUGUCUUGGCACUCCCUGUGAGUCGACUCAAUGAGUCGACCCCCAAGGCAUGAGUCGACUCAUGAGUCGACCUCUGCGGGUCUUUUUGUCAGUUUUACAGAACCUC
rnacentral:lncRNA from 1 species